rnacentral:rRNA from 1 species
AGAGUUUGAUCCUGGCUCAGAACGUACGCUGGCGGCACGCCUAAUACAUGCAAGUCGAACGAAGUAGCAAUACUUAGUGGCAGACGGGUGAGUAACAUGUGGGUAUCUUCCCUUUGGUGAGGAAUAACACGAGGAAACUUGUGCUAAUACCUCAUAAGUCUUUACAGAGAAAGCUUUAUGCGCCAUUGGAUGAGCCCGCACUUGAUUAGUUUGUUGGUGGGGUAAUAGCCUACCAAGACAAUGAUCAAUAGCUGAUUUGAGAGGAUGAUCAGCCACAUUGGGACUGAGACACGGCCCAAACUCCUACGGGAGGCAGCAGUAGGGAAUCUUGCACAAUGGAGGAAACUCUGAUGCAGCGAUGCCGCGUGAGUGAAGAAGGCCUUUGGGUUGUAAAGCUCUUUCGUCGGGGAAGAAAAUGACUGUACCCGAAUAAGAAGGUCCGGCUAACUUCGUGCCAGCAGCCGCGGUAAUACGAAGGGACCUAGCGUAGUUCGGAAUUACUGGGCUUAAAGAGUUCGUAGGUGGUUAAAAAAGUUGGUGGUGAAAUCCCAGAGCUUAACUCUGGAACUGCCAUCAAAACUUUUUAGCUAGAGUAUGAUAGAGGAAAG